UACGUAGGGUGCAAGCGUUGCCCGGAUUUAUUGGGCGUAAAGGGCGCGUAGGCGGCUCUGCACGUUCGUUGUGAAAUCGCCCGGCUCAACUGGGCGGGGUCAGCGGAUACGGCAGAGCUUGAGCAAGCUAGGGGGCAAUGGAAUUCCCGGUGUAGUGGUGUAAUGCGUAGAUAUCGGGAGGAACACCAGUGGCGAAGGCGGUUGCCUGGGGCUUUGCUGACGCUGAUGCGCGAAAGCGUGGGGAGCGAUCCGG
rnacentral:rRNA from 1 species